GACAGCCAGCAAGCAUUGCAAUAGUGAUGAUUCAGUAAAGCUGCGGCAGCAAUACUCUGCAGACAGUGAGCAAGCGUCACACCUGCUACUGGCUGGAAACCCAACACAGGCUGCACAGAAGUACAAGUGCUGUAUAGAAUUGCUGGGAAAUGUUGGGCUCCAGGUGCUUGGCGUGACGGUCAAUGAUGGCGCAUGCUA